CAUGGAGAUCCUACUACUACAGAGGAGAGGAGGUAACAUGGAGAUCCUACUACUACAGAGGAGAGGAGGUAACAUGGAGGUCCUACUACUACAGAGGAGAGGAGGUAACAUGGAGAUCCUACUACUACAGAGGAGAGGAGGUAACAUGGAGAUCCUACUACUACAGAGGAGAGGAGGUAACAUGGAGGUCCUACUACUACAGAGGAGAGGAGGUAACAUGGAGGUCCUACUACUACAGAGGAGAGGAGGUAACAUGGAGAUCCUACUACUACAGAGGAGAGGUAACAUGGAGAUCCUACUACUACAGAGGAGAGGAGGUAACAUGGAGAUCCUACUACUACAGAGGAGAGGAGGUAACAUGGAGGUCCUACUACUACAGAGGAGAGGAGGUAACAUGGAGGUCCUACUACUACAGAGGAGAGGAGGUAACAUGGAGGUCCUACUACUACAGAGGAGAGGAGGUAACAUGGAGGUCCUACUACUACAGAGGAGAGGAGGUAACAUGGAGGUCCUACUACUACAGAGGAGAGGUAACAUGGAGGUCCUACUACUACAGAGGAGAGGAGGUAACAUGGAGGUCCUACUACUACAGAGGAGAGGAGGUAACAUGGAGGUCCUACUACUACAGAGGAGAGGAGGUAACAUGGAGGUCCUACUACUACAGAGGAGAGGUAACAUGGAGAUCCUACUACUACAGAGGAGAGGUAACAUGGAGAUCCUACUACUACAGAGGAGAGGAGGUAACAUGGAGGUCCUACUACUACAGAGGAGAGGAGGUAACAUGGAGGUCCUACUACUACAGAGGAGAGGUAACAUGGAGAUCCUACUACUACAGAGGAGAGGUAACAUGGAGGUCCUACUACUACAGAGGAGAGGAGGUAACAUGGAGGUCCUACUACUACAGAGGAGAGGAGGUAACAUGGAGGUCCUACUACUACAGAGGGAAGCCUACUGGAUAUCCUGUCUAAAAACAUUGACCCCUCGUGGUCUGAAUAUUGACUUAGAUCAAAGACCCUUAUUAUGAACAAUAUUUAGAGUCUAAAAAACAGUAUUUAAAAAAAUCUAUUCUUUCUGCAGGUUAUCAGCAUACACCCAAUAUGUUCCCCUGUUGAUGCAGCUUCUUAUGCAUUAGGGUUGAACCAAAAGAUUAUUCCAAACAAUUAUAUAUUUGUGUGUGUGUGUGUGUGUGUGUGUGUGUGUGUGUGUGUGUGUGUGUGUGUGUGUGUGUGUGUGUGUGUGUGUGUGUGUGUGUGUGUGUGUGUGUGUGUGUGUGUGUGUGGAAUUGAUGAGGAAAAACAUGUAUUUAGUCCAUUUUAGAAUAAGGCUGUAACGUAACAAAAUGUGGAAAAAGG
rnacentral:lncRNA from 1 species